AUUGAACGCUGGCGGCAGGCCUAACACAUGCAAGUCGAGCGGAGCGGCGGACGGGUGAGUAAUGCCUAGGAAUCUGCCUGGUCGUGGGGGAUAACGUCCGGCAACGGGCGCUAAUACCGCAUACUCUCAGACGAGCCUAGGCGGGAUUAGCUAGUGGGUGGGGUAAAGGCCUACCAAGGCGACGACCCGUAACUGGUAUGAGAGGAUGAUCAGUCACACUGGAACGGAGAACCGGUCCAGACUCCUACGGGAGGCAGCAGUGGGGAAUAUUGGACAAUGGGCGAAAGCCUGAUCCAGCCAUGCCGCGUGUGUGAAGAAGGUCUUCGGAUUGUAAAGCACUUUAAGUUGGGAGGCGUUACCAACAGAAUAAGCAACGGCUAACUUCGUGCCAGCAGCCGCGGUAAUAC
rnacentral:rRNA from 1 species